UAAACGUGUUAUCAGUAUGUGUUUGUGAGUG
rnacentral:piRNA from 1 species